CUCCUACCUCAGGAAUGGCAGCAGAAAAAGUCCUGAAAGCCCCAAGUGAUCUGGUUAUAAUUCUUUUGUCAGUUGCUUGGCAUCUAGCACCCAGGUCCUAACCAUCUCUCCAUCCUUUUGUUAUUAGUUCUUACUGGAAGCCCAGUGUCAUUUAGAGGCUGAGUCUCUUGAGAGAUGAAAUCACCAAGCUGACACUGAAGGGAGGUACUCCUUAAGGGAAAAUCUAAGUCCAGAGAGACAGUCGGUAACAGAUAGGCUGCCCCUUUGCUUGCCUUUCUGUUUCACAGGCACAAAGCUUGUGCUUAUUUUUGCACUGGUCUUUUUGUCCCAAGAAAGCUUUCUCGUUUAAGUGUGUGACUGAAUGCUAGUUGUCCUCUUCGGCGGAUGUCUAUUUUCUACUCUUCUUUUUCUCACCAGUCCACUUGAGAUGCUUGCUUAUAGCUGUUACAGGUCCUCUUUACCACCGAGGAAAGACAGAAUCCUACUAGAGGCCAGAAAAAAUGUUCCAGACACAGAUGGAAGGCCCUCACUCCUGCCUGUUGACUUCAAUACCCCUGAAGGUAGGGAGUGGUUCGGGUAUAUCACCAGGCUCCAGUGGUGGAUCUCUGAGGGGAUGGAAAAUGCCCCAUCAAUUUGGCUAAGCUGGCAGCAGCGUAUGCCCUGGGGACCCCUGAGACAUCUCACCAGUUCCAGGUCGGAGACUCUGUCUAUGUACAACAACACCAGGCCCAGAUACUUUGAGCCUCACUGGAAAGGACCAUACCUUUGGAAUAAUAUGUGGAAAGGACACUCCAACAGCCGUCAAGUGUCAGCCCUCACCAGCCGUGUACUAGCUGUUGGGACUGGGGGGCUGGGACACAUAGGUACAUUUGGAUCUUUAAAAUCUUAAAAAUCUCCCUAGACUUGCAUGUCAGAUAAGUGGAUACAUCAGAGACGUGAUUGGGGGUUGCUGUAAUGCUCACUUGAGGAGUGUGCUUUGGAAACAAGAAUUUUAUGUUUGCCUUGGAUUCCAUCGAGAUGGGUCCCUCAAACAUAGACUUGAUUUCUAUUGCAAAUGAUGUAACAUCCCCUUACUAUGAAGGCAUUGCAUAUGUUAGUACUCCUAACACUUCUUGGGCCUGUGCCUCAGGGAUCACAACCUAUAUAAGUUCAGAAGUUCUAAAAGGCAAUCAUGACUUUUGUGCAUUAGUUCAGAUAGUGCCCAGAUUGUUAUACCAUCCUUAUGAGGACAUACUGAACUAUUAGGAUCCUGAUACUAGAGACUUAGUAAGACACAAAAGAGAGUUGGGGAUUACUCUGGCAAUUAUCUUAGGACUGAGUUUAGGUGAUGCAGGGGAAGCUACAGGGACAUCUGUCAUUGCCCUACAACACAAGGCUAAUGGAGAAUUGAGGACUGCCAUUGACUUACAUAUAGAAAGAAGAGAAAAGAUUUUAACUGACCUCCAAGAAUCACUGACCUCUCUCUCAGAGGUAGUCCUUCAGAAUAGGAGAAGAUUAGACCUGAUAUUCCUUAAAGUAGGAGGUCUGUGUGCUGCAUUAAAAGAAGAAUGUUGUUUUUAUAUAGAUCACUCAGGAAGAGUUAAAGAUAAUUUGGCUAAGAUUAGAGAAAGAUUAAAACUAAGUUUUUAAAAAGAGAGAGAGAGGUAGAGCUCAAGACAAAAUUUGGUUUGAAACCUGGUUCAAUUCUUCCCCUUGGUUCACAACUCUAGUUUAUUGUUUAUUAGAGAACACAUUAGUAUAGUGCAGAUAAUGGUGUUAAAACAGCUAUGUUAGCCCAUCACUAGGGAUGAGAUUGAGUUAUGAUUUUAAGAUUAAAACCAUGAUAAAAGAAAAAGGGGGGAUGAAGAAAUAUAGUUUAAUAGAUGUGAGAAACAAAGUUGUAAAAACAAGGUUUUGAGAAAUAUAUCUGGUGGUCAGGAUGCCUAUGACAAACUUGUGACCUUUCUGAGAGAUACAUCUGACAUCAGGAUGCCCAGUGAUAUGAUAAAGUUUCAGUGAUCAAGAUUCUGACUAAGCUAAUUAAGACAAAAACAAAACAAAACAAAACAAACAAACAGAAAAAACCAAAACUGUUCUUGGAAAGACCCCCUUAUCCCCCGCUCUGGUAAAUUCUGAGAACAACCACAAGAUGUCAUCCUGACCCUGCCCGACCACUCAGUUCACCCCCCACCCCCAAGGGACUUGCCAACAUAGCCCUUUCCCAGUUAUUUUCCAAGGCCAGGUGUAGGGCUGGCUGAGGAAAGUACCUAACUGAGCCAAGAACAGCUCCUUGAGCAGGCCAACCAAUACCUGACCAGAUCCUUUGUCCUGUGUACCACCAAUGAGAAUAAACCAGAUAACCCUGUUGCUGAAGUCUGCCCUCUGUAAAGAAUAAAAGUUGUGUGCUUUUUGGGUUUGGGGUUGCCUCUCCCUGGGUGGAUUAAAAACCUUAUACCCUCA
ensembl:lncRNA